GACGAACGCUGGCGGCGCGCUUAACACAUGCAAGUCGAGCGAGAACCGGAGCUUGCUCCGGGGACAGCGGCGAACGGGUGAGUAACACGUGGGUAAUCUGCCCUCGAUUCUGGGAUAGCCCGGGGAAACCCGGAUUAAUACCGGAUAGCCUUUCGAGCUCUCGAGCUUGAAAGAAAAGGUAGCUUCGGCCUCCGAUCGAGGAUGAGCCCGCGGCGGGAUUAGCUUGUUGGCGGGGUAAGUGGCCCACCAAGGCGACGAUCCGUAGCUGGUCUGAGAGGACGAUCAGCCACACUGGGACGUGAGACACGGCCCAGACUCCUACGGGAGGCAGCAGUGGGGAAGUCUUGCGCAAUGGGCGAAAGCCUGACGCAGCGACGCCGCGUGAGGGAAGAAGGCCU
rnacentral:rRNA from 1 species